rnacentral:lncRNA from 1 species
GAGGAAACCCAGGCACCACCAGUCCUGUGACAUGCAAGAUUCAUGAGGUGUGCACUGACACUUGGCAAGCGAAAGGAGACCCAGGACUACAGGACUCUCUGAUGGUCUGCUGCUGACCAAUGACCACUGAGAACAGGCACAGGCUAUGUGGAGCCCAGAGAGACCUGACACACAGCAGGAGAACCUCCCCUAUUCAGCCCUCUUUCGGUCCAUGGGCUCACGAGGGACAGACGGCCUCUCUCGAGUGUGCUUGGAAGAGAAACUAUAUGAAUGAAGUGAGCCAAUGAACUUGCAAGCUCCAGAUCCCGGAGGUGUGAAGUCGUCCAUAGAAAUGCCGCUCUUGUCUGCCCCCUCAGCGUCGGCAGAGGAAGAGGCCUUCUGGUGGUCAGCCUCUGCAGUAGCCGCUUGCACCUCUUCCUGGCCUCCGGCCAAUGGGGCAGCUGGGUCAGCUCCUGGAGUUUUUUCCAGAGACUGACCCUGCUUCUGGCCAACAGCACCUGGGGUGGCCUUGGGGGCUGCAUCAUCUUGUGGGGAAGCUCGCUUCAACUUUCGGGGCUCUGGCUUGGCCAUCAAGUUAUCACUUGAAGACAGUGAAGAGCCUAUGGUUCCUUUCCCUGCUUCUGUGCUUGUGUGGCCCCUCACGGCCCCUGUGGUCUUUCUCCUAGCAUGGCCAUGUCCUCCAGCCCCCCUCUUCUUCUCUGACAGGUGGAAAAUAGAGGGUACAGCCGUGGGCUUCAGCAGGCGAUGCUGGUCCUCCAGCCUUUUGGAGAAGCUGUCUUUGGUAAAAUGUUCACUACAGAGGAAUGAAUACUUAGUUGGGGUCCAAUUAUCCCUCUGAACAGCUUUUAACCACUGGAUCAGUCGUUUGGAGUCCUUUAGGGGAAACCUUCAAAACAAAUGACAAAGUACUUAGAAAUAUUGACAUGCUUUCUUCUAAAACUAUUAUCAAUAAAAGCAAAUCAAGUAUUUCUGC